rnacentral:SRP_RNA from 1 species
GCCAGGCGGCUAGCACAUGCAUGUAGUCCCAGCUACUCAGGAGGCUGAGGUGUGAGGAUCCCUUGAGCCCAAGAGCUCUGGACUGUAGUGCACUAUGCCAAUCGGGUGUCCACACUAAGUAUGGCAUCAAUAUGGUGACCUCCCAGGAGUGGGGGACCACCAGGUUGCCUAAGGAGGGGUGAACCUGCCCAGGUCAGAAACAGAGCAGGUCAAAACUCCCGUGGUGAUCAGUGUUGAGAUUGUGCCUGUGAAUAGCCACUGCACUUCAGCCUGGGCAACACAGUGAGACCUCGCCUCU